rnacentral:lncRNA from 1 species
AGGGCCGGCCCCUGGGUAAGGCGACCAAGGCGAACGCCUAGGGCACCACUAUCCCAGGGGCACCAAAAGAUCUAUGCAUAAGUAGUGUAUAAUGAUAAAUUUAUGUUUUUAUAUAUUUACAUGUUUGAAUUGAUUGUGUUGUUAAUCUUAAAAUAAUAUUUUUCUUAGGUCAUUAUAUAUUGAUUUGAAUGUAUGUAAAUUUUUCCUUCACGAUCUUCAAAACUAGGGACACCAUUUUCUAAAUUCGUCUAGGGCACCCAAAUCCCUAGGGCCGGCCCUG